UGUAGUCCAUGGGGUUGCAAAGAGUCAGACAUGACUGAGUGACAGAACUGAACAGGUGGAUUCUGAGAACUGCUUGGUGGUAGCAAAGUAACCAUCCUACCCCAACACACACAGACACACACACACACACACACAGACACACACACACACACACACACACAGUUCUGACACACUGGAGUCAGAACCUUUACCAUGAAAGCUUAGUAAACUUAAAUUUCUUUUCUUGCCUCAGUGAAAAGAAUAAAAACACUGUGGUGGGUUAAAGUGUCCACUUGUUCUUUGACCCUCGCUUCAAAAAAAGUGGAGCUGAAUUCCCCUCCCCUUUCACAGAUCCAGGAUUUGGUCUUACUUGUAAUGACUAGAAUGAAGUGACUUAUGACUGUAUGUGACAUCUAAGCUGAGGUCAUAAAAGAUAUUGUGGUUUCUGAUACUCUCCUCUUCAGAACAUUCCAAUUGCUGUAGAGAAAGUCAGCUGCUCUGUUAUAAGGACACCUGGGAAGCCCAGGGUGGGGCCUGUGUGCAAAGACCUGGGGCCUCCAGCCAGCAGCCUUGUGAGUAAAUGAUCUAGGAAGUGGUCCCUUCAGCUCCAAUUAAAACUUCAGAUGCCUGAAGCCCUGCCUGCAGCUUUCAGGCUUUUUCCUCUGUCAAGAUCAUCCCCCAGCCGUAUGACUCAUGGCCAGGUUUAAUGGAAACUGUGCAUAAAAUGCUUGAUCUGUUCCCAUCCCACCCCCAGUCAUGCCACAGGUGGUAUAAACAGGAGAUUGUGGAAAGACAAAUAUACAAAAGGAGGCAGAAUUUGGAGAAAUCAGAAUUUGGUGCCUGAACACUUCCUACAUCCAAGUGGAUCAGUCAAGAUGGAUAGAGGCCUGAGCAUAAAACUUUUGAAAUUUGCAUGUGUGCUGGACCAUGUGAAUGAUAUCUGCUUCUCAUAAUCUGGGCAUUUCUAAAGGCAAGAGGUCCCUUGCCAUAUCUGAGGCAACUGUUCAUGGCAGGACCACAGGGGUAAGCAGAAUCACCCACCCUCUCUUCAUUCCCCAAGCUCUCAAAGGACAGCGAAUAAGACCCCACAGGUUUCUCCAUUUCCAAAGGAGAGAGAUCACUCAGAUUAGCCAAUGGGAAGAAAUUAUGAGCCAGCCUGGAACAGUGGGACACACCUCUUAAAGGGAGUGUGCAUGAUUUAUGGGCUCCAAAGGGAAACACAGCGGAGAUUUGGCUAAAAGAGCCGGGGGAUUGACUAGAUAAACAUGUCCACCAGCUAUGUUGAAACCAUCACAUCAAUAAUUACUAAAAAAUCAGAUUCUCCCUACAUGCCAAGCAGUUGGUCAUCCCAAUAGAAGACAGUGUGGUCCAGGUUUGUCCACCAAGAAACCAUCAGUCACCAUCACUUAUCCAAGCAGCUUCUUUUUUCUCCCUUUCCUUCCUUCCCACCAGCACACAUUAGUAAUGGACAACAUGCUAGUACUGAUUACCUGGAUAUCAUUAAAUAUUUGUGACUACUAUCACAACAGAAUUAGAAAAUCCCAGAUUAGACUAGAUUAUUGAUUGAAUAGAAAAACAUUUAAUUUUUACAUCACCAAGAAAGAAUUCAGGCUUUGCAAAGAAUUUGAUUAUUUAUGGAAAGGGUGAACAUGUGCCAGUGGUUUGAUUGGACAAUCAGGUUUAUGCCUUGUGUUAGGUUUCACUGUUAGGAGACGCUGCAGCAUCUUCUGGCCAUGAGGGAGCAAGCUUCAGCACAAAAGCCAAUCAGCUAAGAUUAUCAGUGAAAAUUACAAGAACUUGAAGCUUUAAUGCACUUGAAUUAUCUUGGCCUUGUCCUACUUCUGACUUCAAGCUGAGAUUAAUAAUUUCCUAUAUUUUUAAGCCAUGUUGAGGUGACAAAAAUAACCUGAUGCUGCAUCUUGACAGCAACAUUUGUUGUGUUUAUCAAAUAAAUCUUGAUGUCUAUCUUGCUGUGUAAUGUAAAUAUGGUCUGAAUAUCCAGCCAGAAAUUAUAGCUGGUUUGCAAUAUAUAAUUGUUAGGUGGCCUGUAUUUAUAGUUAUUUUUCUUAACUCUCUUACUAUUCCAUAUAUAUGCAAAGUAAAUUCUAUAUUGUUUUGUUGAUUAGACAAAACAUAGCAGAAGUCAACUGUUAGGAAAAUUAAAAUGGAGGAAGUCUUGUUCAGGCUUCAAAGACCAGAAAGCAGAGCAGGCCUCUGACCUUGGCUCUGACCUGCCUGGAGCCCUGACUACCUGCCUGCUAUGAGUGCACCAAAUUAUUACCAGUAAGCUGACUGGCACUAUAGGAAGUGAGUCUUGGAAUUUUCUUGAGCCCCUGGAGAUUUGUCCAACCACUGGGGUCUGGAAAAUCUCACCACUCAUGAGAUAAAACAAACAGUAUUGUAAAAAGAUAAACAUGAAACCAGCCUGGGAUUAUAAGUGGGAGCUCCCAAAUUGCAAUUUAAAACCUCACUGUGGGGUGGAUGCACUGCCUGAGGCCCUUUCACAGCUGAGACUUCAGAUCGCUGUUACAUGGGACUUCCCAGCGCUGUUUGAAUCUCAUUGUUGGUUGGCCCGAUUCUGAUGUAUGUACUGUUACUUUCCUCUACUGUUUCUAUUUCUCUUUUCUUUUAAUGAUUAUAUAUUGAAAGUAAGUUAGAUAAUUCUUUAUUAAAUAUUGAAAUUGUUUAUUUAUGUGGUUUCUUUUGUUAACAAAUCCUUUGAACCUGAAACAAAAAUUAAAACUUUCAGCACAAAACAUCAGUUCACUGUACCUUUAUUUCAAUUAUGGGAAAAUCCAAACCUUUCUCUCUUGUUUAAUAAUUCCCUAGGUAAGCAGAUGAAAUAAAUUAGGACAAUUCUAAGUUGAUUUGUGCAAUAGGCAGAUCAGAGUACAGAGAUGACCCUCCAAAAACUACAGGCACCCUUUCUCCUGAGACUUCCCUGAGCUAUGGACCGCAUGUACCAGGAGAUGCCUAGGAGGUUACAACCCACCCACUCACCCAUCAAACGGGUGCACGCAUGCAAAACUCUGCGGUGCUCUUCACACCCCAGAGCUACUCCUAUGCUCGGGCUGAAGCUAGACGUCAGCUACAUUUCUAGAUGCUUAGCUUCCUUCUUGGGCACUCUGCCCCUUUCCUUGGUCUCUUACGGGUCGCCUCUGAGAGCACUCCCUCAAUAAAUUACCUGAAUAAGAA